rnacentral:rRNA from 1 species
GCCCUUCCUACGGGAGGCAGCAGUCGAGAAGCUUCGGCAAUGGGCGAAAGCCUGACCGAGCGACGCCGCGUGAGCGAAGAAGGCCCUAUGGGUUGUAAAGCUCUGUCAGAUUGGGAAGAAAACUUCGCGGUUAAUACCCGCGAGGCUUGACGGUACCAUCAGAGGAAGCACCGGCUAACCCCGUGCCAGCAGCCGCGGUAAUAAGGGC